rnacentral:rRNA from 1 species
AGAGUUUGAUCAUGGCUCAGAUUGAACGCUGGCGGCAUGCCUUACACAUGCAAGUCGAACGGUAACAGGUCUUCGGAUGCUGACGAGUGGCGAACGGGUGAGUAAUACAUCGGAACGUGCCCGAUCGUGGGGGAUAACGGAGCGAAAGCUUUGCUAAUACCGCAUACGAUCUACGGAUGAUAGCAGGGGACCGCAAGGCCUUGCGCGGACGGAGCGGCCGAUGGCAGAUUAGGUAGUUGGUGGGAUAAAAGCUUACCAAGCCGACGAUCUGUAGCUGGUCUGAGAGGACGACCAGCCACACUGGGACUGAGACACGGCCCAGACUCCUACGGGAGGCAGCAGUGGGGAAUUUUGGACAAUGGGCG